rnacentral:rRNA from 1 species
UACGGAGGGUGCAAACGUUGCUCGGAAUCAUUGGGCGUAAAGCGCACGUAGGCGGUCCGCUAAGUCGGGUGUGAAAUCCCUCGGCUCAACCGAGGAAGGGCAUCCGAAACUGACGGGCUUGAGUACGGAAGAGGGUCUCGGAAUUCCCGGUGUAGAGGUGAAAUUCGUAGAUAUCGGGAGGAACACCAGUGGCGAAGGCGGAGACCUGGGCCGAUACUGACGCUGAGGUGCGAAAGCUAGGGGAGCGAACAGG